AGAGCGAACGCUGGCGGCAGGCCUAACACAUGCAAGCCGAGCGGCCGUAGCAAUACGGCAGCGGCAGACGGGAGAGUAACACGUGGGAACGUGCCCAUCAGUUCGGAACAACCCAGGGAAACUUGGGCUAAUACCGGAUACGCCCUUACGGGAAAGAUUUAUCGCUGAUGGAGCGGCCCGCGUCUGAUUAGCUAGUUGGUGAGGUAACGGCUCACCAAGGCGACGAUCAGUAGCUGGUCUGAGAGGAUGAUCAGCCUCACUGGGACUGAGACACGGCCCAGACUCCUACGGGAGGCAGCAGUGGGGAAUAUUGGACAAUGGGCGCAAG
rnacentral:rRNA from 1 species